ACAUGUUGUUUUGUUUAACAAUAAUAAUAAAAAUAUGGCUAAAGACAGGGAAAAUGAAUUAAGAAUAUACAAGAAAAGCAAAUUUGACUUAGAUGCUUGUGAGAUUUUAUCCAAAAUUCCAGGCAUACUAAAUAAUAUUAGAGUACAAGCAGUGAUGGAAGAGAGGAAUAAAGAUAGAAGUCAAUGAAAGGAGAGAAAAGUCUGAAGAAAUGCCACCUUCCUCCCAAUUUCCCGGAUUGAAUGUGUCAUUUAAAUCCAUUAAUUCUUCCACAGAAACAUGUCAUGUCCAUUCACUCCUUUUUCAUUUUCCUCUGGUCCACUGACAUGUGGCCAGUAGACAUAAAGACAAUUGAAAAUUUUAAUCAUGUUAUUUUUCUGUCCAAACAAUGGCCCCCACAGAUCUUCACAAGAGUCAAACUCAGCUUGGCCUCAAGGCCUGACUGCCUCCCAGUCCCACAAAUACUUCCCGUAAUUAAGUCCCAUAACUCACCUUUCCAAACCCUUAAAAAAAUUAAACUGGAUUAUUUCUGUCCUCUGAACAUUCGUCUCCUUCCCUACAACUUGGUUCCCCUACUUUUUUUUCUCCUUGUAUUAUUUUCCCUGCUUAGUCUCACCAUGCCAAUGUCCCCUCUGCUUCAUAAGUGACAAGGUGAUAUCCUGGUAACGAUGAGGCCUUCCCAGAAUAGACCCUCAACCCAUUUCCUCUGUCUGCCUCUUUGUAGAAAAACUUUAGUCAAAGAAUCAAUUUAAUCAGAGAAGUGAGAAAAUGCAGAAAGAAAGAAAAAAAGCAGUCAAGCAACACAAAAUAAUAACAGUUUAGCUAUUCAACAAAGUCAAAGACUUUUAGUUCUUCUUCAAGGACUACAGAUAAAAGUAUAUGUCCUUGGAGCUGUUUUACAGGUGCUGAAGCCUCCACAGGUUCUAAUAAGUCAACUGUAUGCUGCCCCUAAGCAUGCAGACCCCAGACAGGUUGGAACCAGAAGUUUGAUGAUGCUGGUUCCCAAUUACCUCCCCACCCAGCAAUCAGAAGAAUGUCCAUGAGCUGAUCAAGCCCCACCCUUUGAACACCAUAAGGCUCCCCGAUACCUGCUCCAGGACAGGACACAAAGUUUUGAGGGCACUAGUCUGCAGUGGCCCCCUUUGCCUGGCAAAGCAAUAAAGCUACUCUUUUCUAUUUUACCUCAAACUCUGUCUCCAUGAUUCAAUUCAGUGCCAGUGUCCAGAGGCUGAGUUUUGGCAAGAAAGAGGCAACUCUUUGUACAUGUCUUGAGUUCAAAUCUUUGUUUCCUAUCUGUGCAAUCUUAGUUCCUUAAACUUCUAUGACUCACGGACCUCGAGUGUAAAAAGGGAAUACAAUACGAUGAUAAUUAGAGGAUUUUUGUCUAUAUUAUGCUAGUUAGUACAUGUAAAGCCAGGUAAGUAAUGAACACUGAACAAGUUUUAGCUCUCUCUAGGUGCUGAAUUUGUAAGGACUAUUGAAGCCAUUUAAUUUGUAAUUAAUUAUAUGGUGUCCAUUGUAAUUUUGCAACAUUUAGUUGAGCAGUUUAUUGAUUUCUCAUAUGCUGCUUUGGCUUUUUGAACCUAUAUGUUUUGUCUUCGCAACUAUAAACCUUGAAUUCUAUACACCACUACUCCCUUUCCACUCACAAAUUUUCAAACAAAUACAAAUUAAAGACAUUUAAAAAUACAGGCAUUGAACUAGAAGUGGGAAAAUCGAAUCCUAAUUCCAGAUAACUACUAACUAUAAUUGAUACAGGAAAAUCAGAUAGUUCCUCUAAAUCUGUUCAUUCAUAAAAUAAGUAUUCUCUUGGAUUCUUGAUGAUCUUUAGCUAUAGGUGGUUGAAAGCACUUUGAACAAGAGGUUUGUACUGUUAUAAGAUGCUGAGGUUAUAGUCAUUGUAUGGCCUCAACAAGUAAUUGUUAUUUGAUUUACUGACAAAAUGGCACAGAAUUUAAGUAAUUACUUUGAACUGAAGAACUUUUAAUUAAUUUAUUUUAUCUAUGCAGAAGUUUGAAUUAAGAGUUUAGAGACCAGAGCUCUAGUUAUUAACCCACUUACUUUUCUCUUUGACCUUUAGUAUGUCACUUAUCCUAAUUGAAUGCCAUCCUAAUCCUCCUGGUGAAUAAUAACAGCCUGGUGUUGACCAAUGGAAGAGAUUUGGGAUACAAAAAAAAGACACAUUCCUCAAGACGAUUUACUGCCCUCUGCUGGAAAACUGUGAAAAUAAAUAUGUGUUCUACCAGGAUGACUAUGUUAGCGCCCCCUAAGGUUGUUCAUCACACAGCUUUUAUAAUCAUUCAGAUGAAUGCUGCCUAAUAAGAUGUCUGAGACACUGUAUGUAAUGCAUGUUUGAUGAAUGAGCCAUUCUCAUCAAUGAAUUUAGCUCUGCCCACUCAAUACCUUUUUCUAAUCACUGAGCAGCUUAUGAUAUUUAAAAAAAAAUAAUAAAUGUUUUUAAACCAUAGACAGAUUUAUAUACAUAUAUGUAUGUAUGUAUAUUAUACAGAAAUAUAAACAAUGUGUGUAUAGUAGGGCUGACAUUUUAUAAGAUGCCCACCCAUGCUUCUUAUGACAGUUGCUCAAGCAGCACAGCAAAGCUAACUAGCCAGAUAUUUUUCUAUCAGAUUCUCAAAUAAAUAAUGGCUCUGUGAGAUGAAGUUACUUCUUCAAAGUCAAAAAGACUUUUCAUAAGUCUUCUGAUUCCAAAUCCAGUGUUUUUUCUCCAUUUCUGCCCAGAAAACUUUCAUUAAUUGCCCUGAAAUUCUUCAAAGGAUCAUUUGCUGAUUGAUAUGCUUAUAAAUACUCUCAAAAUUGUCUCAUUCGCCUCUUAACUGUUUAAAGUCAGGCAAGUUUAUUUCCUUACAUCAUAGCUUUCUAAUAUCUCUCAUAAUGUUUGAUGAAUUGUUAGUGGCACAAAUGAAUAAGUGAAACUAGGAAGUAUGUUGAUAGCUAUUGGAGUUCAGCAAUAUUAUUAUAAUUGUAAAUAGCUAGAAGGUAUUAAAAUAUUUAAAAGAGUGCCAUACAGAACCACUUUUAUUUGCUGAACAAUUAAAGAUACCUUGGCUCUCUGAAGCGCAGGAAUAUUACAUUUCAUAAAAGCAUAAAAGCACUGGUUGCAUCUUAAAGUGUUCUCAUAUCACACAGUUUGGAAAAUUAAAACAAAUUUAUAAUCUUUUAAAUAGUCCUAGCUUCAAUAUAAUUGGGAUAGUAAAAAGGGCACAAGGAAUUUAGAAUCUAGAUCAAUAAUCAUUGAAAAACAAAGACAUUCUUUUUAUUCAGAAUAUUAAAAUUAUAAAUUGUUAAAUUAAUUUUGCAUACACCCAAUCCUAGAGGAUUAAUUUUAUUUUAGAUCAAAAAAAAAAAAAAAGCAAGUCAGACUAGCUCUACAACUUAUGGAGCACUUUAUUCAUGCUCUUGAAAGUUCGCUGCUGUGAGAGAGGACCCUGAAAAUAGAUGAAUUAAAAUCAUUUCCCAAAUGUCAAAGCCAGAGAAAGCAGCAAGAGGAGUUCCAGGGUCUUCUGGACUGACCACCCUAUUUCCAUUCUCAUUGCUCCCUUACAAGGAAACAAGCAAAAAACAAAUGAGACUGUUCAGCUCAGUUACUAGCCUCAAUCUCUGCAGCUCAUUUCUCAGUCUCAUUACAAAUUAGAUCCCUGUUUGAAAAAAAAAAAAAAUCCAUUUUAUUUACAGGACAAUAUGAAGUUGAGAAUUUCUUCUUGGUCAGCCCGAGGUUCUUUUGUUCCACAAAUCGCUUCUUUAAUAGGGCGUUACCUCUGACAGACCAUUAGCCCUGUGUCAUUGAAAAGAUUCCAGGAACACUCAGGACCCAACUUCCCUUCUUGUUCUAUGAACUCCCAAUCAGCUUUAGAAACUAGACCAAAGGCUCUGCGUAAUCCCUUUGACAUAAAGCAGUGGAAAGAAACCCUUUGGUUAUUCAUGAACAAUAACGAUAUUAAUUUACAUAGCCUAUCCUCUCUAAGUGCAAAUGAAUAUGGAGUUGAUUCAAUUAGAAACCUUACCAAAAAAGAGGCUGACAGCAAAGAAUUAGAGCCAAGAAGAUAAGAGAGGCUGUGUCUGCUUAACACCCUACCCAGAAGAUAGGUUUGUGGAGACCUCCCGGUAGACCUGAAGUUAGCAGAUACCCAUGCACCUGUGCUUUAUUUUUACAGAUACACUUCUCUACAAACCAUAUCUUACUAGCACUUUCCCAGAAAGAGUAAUCAGAAGCAGAUGCCUGUGAGCUUAACUAAUUAACUGGGCAAUUCAUCCCUCCUCUCCCCAUGAUUUUGGCUUAGGUGAGUGUUCUAUGUAUGUAUCUUGUACUGGAUUAUAAGAGAGAUGAAUAGCUCUCUUCUGGCUUUAUAUUUUUGUACAACAAUGCCUCUAAUUUAUGUAUGUGAACACUGAGUAAUAGAUGUUUAUGAAUCACACUUAGGUAAUUUGUAUAAGAAGAAGAAAACUAUUUUAAAAAUUAAAAAAGAUUCAGGAAAGCCACCCAUACUUACUACAAUUUGGGAAUCUAAAUUUACACAGAUUCAAACAGCACAUGUCCUGUGAAUCACAGACUCAAGUUACCACUUGAGAUUGACAAUGAAGAGGCUGUGACCAAGUUUUAAAUACAAAGGAAAGAUAAUUGCAAAAGUUAGAGUUAUGGAAUCUCUGUUCCACUGACAAUUCAAUUCAGACUCCCUGACAAUUAAAUCCCAACCUCACUUCAUUAGAUAUGAAUCUUGCAGUGGAAAUGAGAGGCUUUUAAAGGAGCUUUUCUGCUACAAUUAAAAAAAAAAAAAAAGGCUCUCGCUACAGUAGAA
rnacentral:lncRNA from 1 species